GGUAAAAUGGCUGAGUUAGGCAUUAGACUGUAAAUCUAAAGACAGAGGUGGGAAUCCUCUUUUUGCC
rnacentral:tRNA from 1 species